GGUGGGGGGUGCCGGGUGCAGAGCUGUGACUAGGCGUUUGGGACGUGCGCCGAGCACCCGGCUCUGAACUCCCGCUGUGACCUCGGCGCAGCUCGCUCCCCACACCCCGUGUGCCCGGUACUUGAACCCUAGUGGUUAGAGAGCCUGAAAGCGGAUUCUGGGGAUCCUGCUCGGAGAAAUAAUCCGUUGGAAGUGAGAACAGAUUACCAAAAAAUUCUUUGUAUGUGUCAAGGCUUAAUCACUGUGUAGCAUCAUAUGAAACCCGUGGGACGGUUAUUGACAUAUCUUACCCGUUAUAUAUGCAGUGCUUUGGCAAGCAGUAGGAAGGGUAGUCUUCCAGUUCUGUGGGAGCUCUCCUUUCACCAACACUGGGAGGGGAUGCUGAGAGGAAGAGAGGCCAGGUGGCCCGGAUUCCUCUCUGGAUCAUCAACCUCCCAAUGCCCAGAAUGUGUCGUCAGAGUUGGGAAACGGGUUUCUGGAAGGUCCCUGGCAGGCCGAGGGGCUGCUGGCGGCUGCGGCGGGGCGUGCAGUGAGGAGGCGGCAGAGAACAGGCUGUCCUGGCAGUGUUUACCGUCAGAUCCUAUGGAGAUGUCUUCACAGCUCAGCUCAAACCUCACUUCCUCUGGGAGCCGUCCCGAGCCCCAUGCUCCAGCAGGGUGCCCGUGCUACGUGCUGGAAGACACCCUGUCCUUUUUCCCCCUGGAACUUCCCAUGUCUGUAAUACAUGCGGGCGUAUCGGUGUCCUUCCCUAACCCAGGCUGCCGUUGAUAACUCCAAGAGCAUUCAUUGCCCCUGCCAUGUGUCUCCAGCCCUGGGCGCAGGGUCCGCGUCAUAAAUAUUUGUCAAGUAAAGUAUUGGGGGUCAUCGCCUCGAUGGCUCCUCCUUUCCCAGCCUUCACCUUGUUUAGGGCUGAUUACAAAAUGAAAGUAAAGACAUUUUCCAACUCUC